GGAGAGAUGGUCGAGUUGGUUUAAGGCACCGGUCUUGAAAACCGGCGAGCAUGAGAGUGCUCCUAGGGUUCGAAUCCCUAUCUCUCCG
rnacentral:tRNA from 1 species